CGGUGAAUGUCAAUUGGGGUCCUCGUCCUUUCAAGUUUUUGAAUUGUUGGAUGCUUUAGCCUAGAUUUAUCAACAUGAUUGAAGAUUAGUGGAAGUUCAUGAUUGCUGCAAGAGGUAAUGUUGCUAAAAAGUUGAAGCUUCUUAAGAAAAAGUUAAUCAAAUAGAACAAGGAACAAUUCGGUCAUUUUGAUUCCAGUAUUGCAUUGCUUGAAACUGAUAUGGAUAACAUUGACAAAUCAUUGGAGUCUUUAACUUCUAAUUCAUCCUUAAGGGCAUCCCUUUUAUCCAAAAGAAGUCUUGUGUGGAAUUAUUUGUAGAAAAAAUACAGAAUGAAGGAAUCACCAUGGAAGCAAAAAGCAAGACAACAAUAGAUUAAAUAUGGAGAUAAAAAUUCAAAAUUUUUUCACUUGAUAGCAUCAAAACAUAAACGUAAGAACUUCAUCGAUUUUCUUCAAACUAAUUCUGGAAUGGUUAAAGAUUUACAAAGUAUUAGGAGAGAGACUACGCAUUUCUUCCACCUGUUGUGCAACAAAGCUCACACUUUCUGUUCUGCACUUGUUUUGAAAAAUAUUUCUAAACUUUUUGCCUCAGCUAGUUCUUCUUUGGAACCCCUUUUCACCUACAAAGAAGGAAAGGAUGCAGUCUGGUCUUGUGGGGCAGACAAAGCGCCUGGACUUGAUGGUUUUAACUUUACCUUCUUCAAAGCUAGUUGGGGUUUCUUAUGGUAAGAUAUUAUACAGAUAGUUGAGGUAUUUUAUAUUUUCGGUCAUCUCCCUACUAGAAUUAAUUCCUCUUUUGUCACUCUUAUACCUAAAGUUGAAGGUUCUAUGUUGCUCAAAGACUGUAGGCCUAUAAGCCUUAUUGGUUCUCUUUACAAAAUUAUUGCUAAACUAUUAGCUAAUCAUCUUUGUGGUGUUAUAGGUGAGGUGGUGAGUGUAAGUCAAUUAGCUUUCAUAAAAGGCAAACAAAUCCUUGAUGGUAUUCUUAUUGCCAGCGAGCUAGUACAUUCCUUAAAGAAGGAGAAGAGAAGUGGAGUUCUUUUCAAAAUUGAUUUUGAUAAAGCUUUUGACUUAGUGAAUUGGAGGUAUCUUAUGCUAAUUAUGGAGCAAAUGAACUUUGGCUCUAUAUGGCAUGGAUGGAUUUGGGAAUGCAUGUCUAUUGCCAGGUUUUCUAUAUUGGUGAACGGUUCUCCUUCUAAUGAAAUCUCUCUGGGCAAAGGUCUCAGACAAGACGAUCCACUUUCGCCUUUCCUAUUCAUAAUUGCUGUGGAAGGUUUAUCUUACUUAUUCCAAAGGGCUAAAGAGCUUAAUCUCAUUACCGGAAUUCCCCUUACUAACACGAGCGAAUGUAUCACUCACUUAUAAUAUGCAGAUGCACUUUGGUCCUUUGUAAAGCUAAAGAG
rnacentral:misc_RNA from 1 species